CAACCAUCAAGCCCAGCGCUUGUGUUGGGGACCCGCGGCUGCCGCGGGCCCUUAAAGACAGUGGCGGUCUCGCUGUAGUACCGAGCGUAGUAACAUACAUCUCGCUCUGGGAGCUGCGCGUGCACCUGCCGUAAAACCCCCACCUCUCACAA
rnacentral:misc_RNA from 1 species